GGUUGAUCCUGCGGACCGACUGCUAUCAGAGUGGGACUAAGCCAUGCGAGUUAACUGUAGCAAUACGUGGCAUACGGCUCAGUAACACGUGGUCAACAUACCCAGAGGACGUGGAUAACCUCGGGAAACUGAGGAUAAACCGCGAUAGACCAUAAUGUCUUGGAAUGAUUUAUGGUUCAAAUCUACAUGGCCUCUGGAUUGGACUGCGGCCGAUCAGGCUGUUGGUGAGGUAAUGGCCCACAAACCUGAAACCGGUACGGGCUCUGAGAGGAGAAGCCCGGAGAUGGGCACUGAGACAAGGGCCCAGGCCCUAUGGGGCGCAGCAGGCGCGAAAUCUUUGCAAUAGGCGAAAGCCUGACAAGGUUACUCUGAGUGAUCUCCGCUAAGGAAAUCUUUUGACACCUCUAAAAAUUGGUGUUAGAAAUUAAAGGGGGUGGGCAAAGCCAUGGUUGUCAAGCCCGCCGCURCAGGUUAAUUACCAAGCACCACCCGGAGUGGUUCGGGACGAUUUAUUUGGGCCUAAAGCAUCCGUAGCSGUUCCUUAAGUCCUCCGUUAAAUCCACCUGCUUAACAGAUUGGGCUGCGGAGGAUACUAUAGAGCUAGGAGGCGGGAGAGGCAACGGUACUCAGUGGGUAGGGGUAAAAUCCGUUGAUCCAUUGAAGACCACCAGUGGCGAAGGCAGGCUUGCCAAGAACGCGCUCGACGGUGAGGGAUGAAAGCUGGGGGAGCAAACCAGGAUUAGAUACCCGGGUAGUCCCAGCUGUAAACAGAUGCAGACUCGGUGAUGAACAGGCUUCGUGCCUGUUCAGUGCCGCAGGGAAGCCGUUAAGUCUGCCGCCUGGGGAGUACGUCGCAAGACUGAAACUUAAAGGAAUUGGCGGGGGAGCAC
rnacentral:rRNA from 1 species